rnacentral:lncRNA from 1 species
GGUGUUUAAAAUCUAAAAUGUUAAUUUAUUAUGUGGUUUAUCCUAAAAUAAUUUAAUAUUAAAUUUAAUUAACUAUACCAUAGGAAUGUUUUCUAGAUCUAAAACUUGUAUGUUUUGAUCCCCAGUAGAUUGGCUUCUUUUAUUGUACAGGGUGGCCAAAUAAGAAUGCGAGGUACUGUAUCUGGGAAACUAUUCAUCGUAGAAGCUUGCGAUAAAAAAAUUUGUUAGGUUAAUUCAGCAAAAUUUACAGAAACAUCAGUUUUCUAGAUUCAAGAUUGCAGUUGCGCCCCCUAGCGGCCAUUUUAGAAACUUGAAAAUAUUUUCCAGGUCAUUCUCUUGACCAUUUUAGUAAUAAAUUUUUUUAUCGCAAGCUUCUACGAUGAAUAGUUUCCCAGAUACAGUACCUCGCAUUCUUAUUUGGCCACCCUGUACAGCUCCAAAUGUUGACAAAAGUUAAUUCUAGUGCCUAUACAGGUAAUAAAUUCUUUUAUCAUAUCAGUUGAGUUUUUGAUAUUUAGCAAAUCAAUUUUGUUUUCUGAAAAUAGGCAAUAAAUAAUUUAUUUACAUUCAAUGCAAAAGAAGGACAUUGGCGCUGGAUAUAGACACGACUAUUUUAAUACGGUAUUAAAGUCCAGUUCAGAGAUCUAUUAGAAUCUUUGAUUCGCCGCGAAUAGUCCGUGUGCGGGUGUUGCUUGUAUUGUCACAUGGCAUGCAUGUUUAAAUCGCAAAAUUUUAUGUGGAAAGAGUCAUAAAGUAAUAUUAUAAGCGAUAUUUAAUCAAUCCAUUAAAUAAAAAAAUGUUUUAAACAUAUUUUUUUAAAUUUAUACAUUGGGUUCGAAAAAUUUGACUUCAGACGCCCACGUACUAUUUUGUUAGACGUCUGACCUCAGUUCCAGCAAACUUUACAGAAUAGAAUACAAGUUGGGUUUCUCCGGUCGGCCGUCAAAAUCCACCCCGCAGUUCGCCGUCUGCCCGGUGCAUCAGGUCUGGUGCACAUUUAUUUAUCGAUGUAUACCGAGCGCGCCAAGCUCAUUUCAGUUUUUCUCACGUUUCGGUGGAGUUAAAAGAAAUAGUUGUGGAUUUUAUUGAUUGUGUGGAGAAUAAAAUGUCUAAUCGAAAUAUUUGUUUAGUGGAUGGUUGUGAAAGUCGAAUAACAGAUCAGAUAUCGUUUUUUAGGUGCCCUAAAGAUCAAGGAAGGUAUGUACCAAAUAUAGAUUCUAUUAAAAAAGUUUUAAUUAUGAAAAUGGAGUUUUAAUUAUCUUUGUAUUACUUUAACUCAACCUUGUAUUUAAUCCUUUACAAGGGAUUAAUAUUAGUAAAUGAAUAUUGCAAAUAUAAUAAUUAUUUAUUUAACCACCCAACUAACUAAAAAAUAAUAAAAAAUUAUAAUAUUUGCAGUCUUACAUGAAACAAAAAUUUUAGGUGUCAAGUUUGGAAAAAUGCCCUAGGAUUUAUAGGAUCCCAUAGAUACGCAGAUAAUACUCCAACGUAAUGUUAUAACUAACUAAUUUGUAGUUUGCAUUUUAAUGAUGACAGUUUUACAAAUUCCUCGAAAACCUGAAUUCAUUUGUAUGCUAUCCCAUCGAUUGGAGUACCUACCCAAAAAGGACAUAUUGUAGACAAUGCACAUUUUCCUAAAGCCGUUGAUGCCAUUGUUCAGACAGAACCCUUCGAAGUAAAUGAGGCAAAGCAGCCGCUACUAAAAGUUGCAGGAACCCAAACGUCACUAAAGCUUUCAGCAAAUACGCCAAGAAAAGUUUUACUUAAGGACACAGUAAAAACAGUAAAAAAAAACUAUUACUACCCACACUUGCAAAAGAAGCCUUGAAACAGAAAUUACCAUGGCUGAAAUGGCAUUGAAAUUUUUGGAAUCAAAUUUUUCUAAAGAAAAACAUCUGUUAAAUAAACUCAAAUUUUAUUGCUGAAUAAGGACUCAAAAGGACGCAGGUAUACCAAUGAAUUUAUUUUGCUCUAAGUGUGUUUUUUCUGAGUCCAAAAGCUUACAAAAAUAUUCCACAGUUAUCCUCGAUGAUCAAAAUCUACAUUAAACCGUUUUACGCAACAAUGGGUAAAUAAUCCCGGUUUUAACGAGUUUGUUUUUAAAGUAAUUGAAUGUAGAGUAAAAUUGUUGCAGGAAAAAGAAAGAGACUGUAUUUUAUACAUGGACGAAAUAUCUUUAAAAUCUCACCUUUUUCUUAUGAUAUUUUUAAAGAAAAAAUUGUAGGAUUUGGUUCAGGGUCAUAUAAAGUUGCAGGAAGUGCAUUAACAAUAAUGGCAAAGGGAAUUGCUAGCAGUUGGAAACAAAAAACCCAUUGCCUAUUUUUUUUAUAAUACAUCUGCACCUGUUAAUCAUUUAAAAGAUAUUUUAUUUGAAACUGUCCGAAGGAUACGCAAAACCGGUUUAAAUAUUUUUGGGGUUGUAUCAGAUCAGGGUACUAAUUUUCAAAAACUAGCUAUAAGUUCUUUAAAAGUGACAAUAGAUAAUCCCAUAUUCUUUGUUGACGAUGAAAAUUUAAAACUAGUUUAUUUAUUUGAUGUUACCCACUUACUCAAGUCGACAAGAAAUAAUUUUUUUCAACACAUUCUUUAUUUAAAUGAAGGAGAAACAAGUAAAAAAUAUUUAGAUGAAGUAUGAUGUAUAAUGAUGUAUAAUAUUGACAAAAAGAAGCAGUUUAAAAUGGCCCAUAAAUUAACAAACGACCACAUUUAUUCUAAUAAAUUUCAAAAAAUGAAAGUAAAGUUAGCUUCGCAAGUAUUUAGCCGCUCUGUAGCGGUAGCUAUACAUACUUAUAUUGAAUUUAACGCCUUGCCAAAAGAAGCAACUAUAAUAGCCAAUUUUAUAUUUAAAAUGAAUAAUCUAUUUGAUUUAUUAAACUCCAACAACUUACAAGAUUUUUAAGCUUUCAUGGGAACUGAAAAACAAAAAACGUUAUUGCAAGAUAUGGAAUACCUUUUUAAAAACUUAAAAGUAAGAAGUUUUGAAGGAAAAAAUACGACAAAUAGGGCAAAAUUUAUUUCUGGGUGGCGGCUUACAAUAAGAUCAAUUUUAAUUCUUGGGGAAAUAUUACAAAAAAAAGGUUAUAGAUAUUUAUUUAUACGUAAUCUCAAUCAAAAUUGCCUCGAGUACUUCUUUGGUGAAAUUAGAAAUUGUUGUGGAAAUUCAAAGAAUUCUACUCCUAUUCAAUUCUGUCGAUCCUUUAAAAAGGUUUUUACGUUAGGAUAUUUAGUUAAUGUCGAAACAGCUAAUUGUAUAGAUGAUAGCGCUAAGGCCCUAUUAAAUUUUAAUCCCGAUUUUAUCAAGAGUUGCAAUAAUAUAUACAAUUAUUCUCCCACUAAAUAUCUUUCUCUUCGAGUGUUGACCAAUUAUGUAAACUUAAAAAGCGCGGAAGGAAAUGCUUUAGUAUAUGUAGCGGGAUAUUUAUUUAAAUAAUGUCUCUGACGUCCCUCUUGUGAAAUAUGCAAUAAUUUUGCAACUCAAAUGUCCAGUUUAAUAAAGAGUUAUUUUAUUGUAUAUUAAAAUCAUAUGAAAAUAAUACCUUAUUUGGUGGUCUAACCAUACCUCCAAAAGACAUUAUUGAGUACAUAAUAAAAUUAGAAUGUAUUUUUAUCGCUAAAUUUAAGAAAUUAUCAGCGCAAGAACCAAUUGGCUAUAAUCUUAAAAAAACUAUUUUCUAACAUUACCUUUAAGCAUCCCUGUAAUGAAUUUCCCAUUGACUAUAAGUUUAU